rnacentral:tRNA from 1 species
GGUCAGCUCAGUGGUUUGAGCAUUGGCCUGCUAAACCAGGAUUGUGAGUUCAAUCCUUGCAGAGGCCA